AACCCAGAAAGUAAACUUAUUAUGUAUGGUCAGUGGCUGGCCUGUGCCGAGUUUUUGAUAAUUCCAUCUCCAAUAUGCUCGCAGUGUAUUCGUCAUUCCUAAGGAAACUGGGCUGAUGGAUAUGCACAAAGAGAGACCUGGCACGCAGAGCAGAGACUGAAGGAUGGAGCCAAUGGGCAGUAGAACCCUGGCAAAACUUAUUAAAGAUGCAGAUGCAGGGGAGACAGAGCCUAGAAGAGAUGCCAACAGAAAGGUGAUGGGGCCAUCUCUUUAAAGGCAACUUUGGCCAUUCUGGACCAUCACUCAUUUCAAGACUAUUCUAGGCCUUGGAUGAAGAAGAAGGAGGGAGCAGAGUGAGGGCCUAAGAGUAAUUCGGGAUCUUCUUCAUCUGCACCACUUGGCCACGAAUGAGAAGACCACAACACCUGACUAAUGUAUCACCAUGACUCUUCCCAAUGUACAACCCUGGGCACUGGUUUCCCCAUUUGAUGUAAAAUGAAGGUUUUGGAUUAGAAGACUUUGA